rnacentral:rRNA from 1 species
UACGUAGGGUGCGAGCGUUGUCCGGAAUUAUUGGGCGUAAAGAGCUUGUAGGCGGUCUGUCGCGUCUGCUGUGAAAAUCCGGGGCUCAACCCCGGACUUGCAGUGGGUACGGGCAGACUAGAGUGUGGUAGGGGAGACUGGAAUUCCUGGUGUAGCGGUGAAAUGCGCAGAUAUCAGGAGGAACACCGAUGGCGAAGGCAGGUCUCUGGGCCACUACUGACGCUGAGGUACGAAAGCGUGGGGAGCGAACAGG